CGGACGGGUGAGUAAUGUCUGGGGAAACUGCCUGAUGGAGGGGGAUAACUACUGGAAACGGUAGCUAAUACCGCAUAACGUCGCAAGACCAAAGAGGGGGACCUUCGGGCCUCUUGCCAUCGGAUGUGCCCAGAUGGGAUUAGCUAGUAAGUGGGGUAACGGCUCACCUAGGCGACGAUCCCUAGCUGGUCUGAGAGGAUGACCAGCCACACUGGAACUGAGACACGGUCCAG
rnacentral:rRNA from 1 species